rnacentral:lncRNA from 1 species
CCAUUUCAUUUCCAGCACCACCACCUCACCACCGCAGCUCGUUCUCUCUCCUUCGCCGCCACCGCCUCCGCCACAGACCUUUUCAUCGCCCACCCCUCACACCACCACCUCUCCGCCAUAAAAUCCAAAGGCCAACUCCUUAAAUCCUACACAAUCACUCCCCUAAUAAAACCCUGGCCCCAAAAGCUCCAAAUCUGUGACCACGUCGGCAAAUUAUCUUGGUUCGUGGAGCAAAGGACGUUUUGGAAUGUGUUUAGGAG